GACGAACGCUGGCGGCGUGCCUAAUACAUGCAAGUCGAGCGCAGGAAGCUGACGGAACUCUUCGGAGGGAAGGCAGUGGAAUGAGCGGCGGACGGGUGAGUAACACGUAAGGAACCUGCCUCAAGGAUUGGGAUAACUCCGAGAAAUCGGAGCUAAUACCGGAUAGUUCAACGGACCGCAUGGUCCGCUGAUGAACGGCGCUACGGCGUCACCUUGAGAUGGCCUUGCGGUGCAUUAGCUAGUUGGUGGGGUAACGGCCCACCAAGGCGACGAUGCAUAGCCGACCUGAGAGGGUGAUCGGCCACACUGGGACUGAGACACGGCCCAGACUCCUACGGGAGGCAGCAGUAGGGAAUCUUCCACAAUGGACGAAAGUCUGGUGGAGCGACGCCGCGUGAGUGAUGAAGGUUUUCGGAUCGUAAAACUCUGUUGUAAGGGAAGAACACGUACGAGAGGGAAUGCUCGUACCUUGACGGUACCUUACGAGAAAGCCACGGCUAACUACGUGCCAGCAGCCGCAGUAA
rnacentral:rRNA from 1 species